GGGGGCGGUGGGCGCAGGGAAAAGGUGCAGGACAGGUUAUAAAAGGGCUGAGGAACGCAAGAAAGCGCUACCCCGGCAACACUCGCGCGCCACGAAAGACCCGGACAGAGGGCUGUGCGCUCGAAAUCACUAAUAGUGAAAUGAGAAAAAUAAGCUACGGCCAUCUCGGAGAGCUAGAUGGAGCCUGCCCCAGCUUAUCCCUCAGACUCGGCGGAAAUGGGCCAGGAACAACCGAGGUCAAACCGGGCUCGGUGGCCCACAGCCUGAGCGGCCCCUUUGCCCGCCUCGGCCUUGGCCAGGUGCGGCCUCCCGACCGCUGGGGCCGUCGCGCCCUCACAACGCUCGGCCCGAGGGGGCCCCUCACCCAGUGCACGGCAGCGGGGACGGCAGCCAACGAAUCCUGUCGGCCUCCGCGGAUCUCCACAGGCAGCGCCGCUCCCCCGCUCGACGUGCGCUUCGCCCGCCGCCUCCCUUCUCCAGUCCAAACAAACACCCCAGCCCGGAAGUGACUUCACUUCCGUCGCCGCCGGCCCCGCCCACUCGUUCUGUCUUCGCUUCCUGGCUAGGCCACUAGAGUGCACAAGAGAGAAGGAAACUCCAGAGAUCUGGUCUGAGUUGUGCUUCUAUGGAGGAGCAAAGGCCUUCCCGGUGCCCAGCAGAGACCCACCUCGGGUUUUUCUAGUUCCGUUGAUCUCUCUUGAGACAGAUAUGACUCCUUAUUCGCCCGCCCGACCAGAACGAUGGGAUUCUGUGGCUAUGGGAGCUGGGAACUAAGGCCAGAUGUGGAGUAUCACAGACUGUCAAGAUUCGGAAUAUUCAACAAGUAGCCACUUUUCACUAUAAAUGAAGCAGUGUGAAAAGCAAGUCAUCUACAAUUGACUUUAUCUGAAGGCUCCUUUUUCCCAUCAGAUGAUACAUCCCCUAAAUUAGCAAGAUCAGUCUCAUCGCCCACCGAACUACCACUUUCUAGGAGAGCUGCUGCUUCCUCCUCAUCGACAAGCAGCUCAUCUUCAGACUCAAGAAGCAUACUGGGUUCCUGUUCUGCCUGAUCAUCCUUGGUGUCUUUCUCACCGUCUUCACCCGACUUCUCUUCUUGUUCUUUACCCUCAGCUGGACUCUCAGUCUUCUGUGAACCAUCAGUCUUGGACUUCUUAUCACUUGGGGACUCUUUUCCAUCUGGAGAAUAGGAUCUUUUCCUGAACAACACAGAUGCACAUUUUGUUUGCCGAGUCGAAAAAUAAAAGCCUAAUGUCAGUA